GGGUGCGAUCAUACCAACACUAAUGCACCAGAUCCUAUCAAAACUUUGCAGUUAAGCGUGCUUUGGCCAAAAUAGUACUAGGAUGAGUGACCUCUUGGGAAGUCCUCGUGUUGCACUCU
rnacentral:rRNA from 1 species